rnacentral:rRNA from 1 species
UACGUAUGGUGCAAGCGUUAUCCGGAUUUACUGGGUGUAAAGGGAGCGCAGGCGGCACGGCAAGCCUGAUGUGAAAGCCCGCGGCCCAACCGCGGGACUGCAUUGGGAACUACCGGGCUGGAGUGCCGGAGAGGUAGGCGGAAUUCCUAGUGUAGCGGUGAAAUGCGUAGAUAUUAGGAGGAACACCAGUGGCGAAGGCGGCCUACUGGACGGUGACUGACGCUAAGGCUCGAAAGCGUGGGGAGCAAACAGG